rfam:Gasterosteus aculeatus cont1.003920, whole genome shotgun sequence.
UAAAAGGCUUUAUUAAAAGCCCAUCAUUGAGCAUUAAAAAAAAAA